GUGGAAAACAUGGAUAAAUUUUCAAGUUUUUUAAUGUUAUUAUGUGGGAGAUUCGGAGUUUGAACUCCGACCUACAUAUAAAAUGCAAUAUCCAUUUUCUAUCACGAGAAUGAUAAUAAAAUAAUGAAAAUUUGUUAAAUAAAUUAUGAAUGGAUUAUUUUGAUUUGUAAAUUUUUAUUUGAUGACCUCCUUAUUAAAGGUGCUAAAGGGACAAAUUAACAAAUUAUUGUACUUAAGAGACGUCUAAUAAUUUUUUUAAAAAAUAAAACCUCAGCUAUAUAAAUAAAUCAAAAAGUAAUAAAAUCAAAUUCUAUGUGAUACAUGCAAAAAGUGGAAAACAUGGAUAAAAUUUUCAAGUUUGUUAAUGUUAUGAUAAUCAUUCUUUCCCUAUUUCUUGCUUCAACACGAGUUUCACCUGCUGCCAUUCCAUGUAAAACUGAUUAUGAUUGUCCGCGAACUAAAUUCGGCCGGUACAAGCAUUUUAGAAGAAUGACGUGCCGUAAAGGUUUUUGUAUAUAAAUAUAUAACAAUAAUUAUAAAGCUCCAAAGAUUAUAUAAUUGUCAUAUCCAAAAGAAUACACAAACGCACAACAAGAAUACUCCAUCAAUUGCAGAGAGUUUCUUAACAAUAGUAAUCCAUAUAUUACAAGUUAAUCGAUAUAUUCAUUUUUAUUUUGAUAAAAAUAAUGGAUACUUGAUUUUAAUUUAUAUGUUUUUGUACUUAAUCCCAAUUGGUAAUCUCCCAUCGAUAACAACGAAUCAUACCUUCAAU